GUCCCCGUGUCCGAACGGAGAAGGAUCUGGUUUCCUAAACCAGUAUGUGCAGGUUCGACUCCUGCCGGGGACG
rnacentral:tRNA from 1 species